rnacentral:rRNA from 1 species
GCUUGACAUUGAAUGCAUUUAAUUUGUUUUGUUAGGGCUUAAUUUUAUGUAGAAAGUGUUUCGUUGGGGUGACGGGAAGAUAAGAAAAACUCUUUUUAACUUGCAACACUGAUGAGUGAAUAGUUGAUCCAUAAUUAAUGAUUAUAAGACCAAGU